rnacentral:rRNA from 1 species
GGCGGACGGGUGAGUAACGCGUGGGUAACCUGCCUCAUACAGGGGGAUAACAGUUAGAAAUGACUGCUAAUACCGCAUAAGACCACGGUACCGCAUGGUACAGUGGUAAAAACUCCGGUGGUAUGAGAUGGACCCGCGUCUGAUUAGGUAGUUGGUGGGGUAACGGCCUACCAAGCCGACGAUCAGUAGCCGACCUGAGAGGGUGACCGGCCACAUUGGGACUGAGACACGGCCCAAACUCCUACGGGAGGCAGCAGUGGGGAAUAUUGCACAAUGGGGGAAACCCUGAUGCAGCGACGCCGCGUGAGUGAAGAAGUAUUUCGGUAUGUAAAGCUCUAUCAGCAGGGAAGAAAGUGACGGUACCUGAAUAAGAAGCCCCGGCUAACUACGUGCCUGCAGCCGCGGUAAUACGUAGGGGGCAAGCGUUAUCCGGAUUUACUGGGUGUAAAGGGAGCGUAGACGGCAAGGCAAGUCUGAAGUGAAAGCCCGGUGCUUAACGCCGGGGCUGCUUUGGAAACUGUUUGGCUGGAGUGCCGGAGAGGUAAGCGGAAUUCCUAGUGUAGCGGUGAAAUGCGUAGAUAUUAGGAAGAACACCAGUGGCGAAGGCGGCUUACUGGACGGUAACUGACGUUGAGGCUCGAAAGCGUGGGGAGCAAACAGGAUUAGAUACCCUGGUAGUCCACGCUGUAAACGAUGAUUGCUAGGUGUAGGUGGGUAUGGACCCAUCGGUGC